rnacentral:lncRNA from 1 species
UGCUGGUACUAUGUUGACUGAGAACCCUAUUUCUGAUUCCAAACUUUGCUUACUUACUAAUAUCAACUCUGUCGCCUGGAUUAUAGAUUCAGGUGCCUCUAAUCACAUGACACAUGAUAAACAGUUACAUUUUAACAUCACACCUUUAACUCUGCCAUAUCUUGUCACUCUUCCUAAUGGCUAUAAAGUGAAAGUAACAUGCACAGGCUCUUUUGCAUUGACUCCAUCCAUCACCCUUCACAAUGUACUGCUAGUUCCUUCAUUUAAACACAACUUGAUUUCUGUCCACAAGUUAGUGAAGCAGUUACAUUGUAUAGUUAUGUUCUGCCUCUAAUCACAUGACACAUGAUAAACAGUUACUUUUUAACAUCACACCUUUAACUCUGCCAUAUCUUGUCACUCUUCCUAAUGACUAUAAAGUGAGAGUAACAUGUACAGGCUCUUUUGCAUUGACUCCUUCCAUCACCCUUCACAAUGUACUGCUGGUUCCUUCUUUUAAACACAACUUGAUUUCUUCCUCUGUUAGUUGUUCCUCUACUUCUGUUUGUUCUUUAUCUGCUUCUUGUAAUGAUGACAUUUUGUCUGAUAACAAGGCUGUUCCAUUGCCUUCUCAUGUAUAUAGUUCCAUCUGUAAUAAUGAUUUUACAUUUGACAUGAAUUACAUUUGGCACUUAAGAUUUGCUCAUACUCCUUUUACAAAUAUGAAAUGUAUUUCUGGUUUGUCCUUCCCAUUUGCUUCCAAACAACCUUUUCCAUGUUCAGUCUGUCCUAUGGCCAGACAUACUAGGCUUCCAUUUCCUGAUAGUUCCAUUAAGACUUCUAGACCCUUUCAACUGAUUCAUGUGGACAUUUG